rnacentral:rRNA from 1 species
UACGGGGGGGGCAAGCGUUGUUCGGAAUUACUGGGCGUAAAGGGCUCGUAGGUGGCCAACUAAGUCAGACGUGAAAUCCCUCGGCUUAACCGGGGAACUGCGUCUGAUACUGGAUGGCUUGAGUGUGGGAGAGGGAUGCGGAAUUCCAGGUGUAGCGGUGAAAUGCGUAGAUAUCUGGAGGAACACCGGUGGCGAAGGCGGCUUUCUGGACGACAACUGACGCUGAGACGCGAAAGCGUGGGGAGCAAACAGG